rnacentral:lncRNA from 1 species
AUGUGGAUGAGUGUACCCAGGCUAUACAUGACUGUCGCCCUAGCCAGGACUGCCAUAACCUUCCUGGCUCCUAUCAGUGCACCUGCCCCGAUGGUUACCGAAAAAUUGGGCCCGAAUGUGUAGGUGAGUUCGGUGGCUUUCCUAAGUUCCUGCUCUGUGACCUUGGUCUGCUUCUUGAUCUAAUACCUUACGUCACCCCAGCCCUCUGCUGCUGGUGCACUCCUGUCACCAGACCCACUAGACAUGUGGGCGACUCAACUCAGCUCCCCGACAAAGGCAGGGGUGAACGUGGGUGCUGAGGUGAGCUGGCUCAGGCCCCACCUAGCUUGUGUUCUACUUUCCGUCUCCUGCCUCCCAUCUCAGACAUAGAUGAGUGUCGCUACCGCUACUGCCAGCA